UCGAGAAUCUUCCGCAAUGGGCGAAAGCCUGACGGAGCGACGCCGCGUGUAGGAUGAAGGCCCUCGGGUUGUAAACUACUGUCACGGGUUAUGAAUGUGCAUAUGUUAACAGCGUGUGUAUUGACGUAAGCCCGAAAGGAAGCACCGGCUAACUCUGGGCCAGCAGCCGCGGUAAUACAGAGGGUGCAAACGUUGUUCGGAAUUACUGGGCAUAAAGCGCGCGUAGGCGGCGACGUAAGUGUAGGGUGAAAUCCCACGGCUCACCCGUGUGAAUUGCCCCGCAUACUGCGUUGCUUGAGUGUGGUAGGGGAGAGCGGAACUCCUGGUGGAGCGGUGAAAUGCGUAGAUAUCAGGAGGAACACCGGUGGCGUAGGCGGCUCUCUGGUCCAUAACUGACGCUGAAGUGCGAAAGCUAGGGUAGCGAACGGGAUUAGAUACCCCCGUAGUCCCUGAGCGGGCUGGCAAGGCGCAU
rnacentral:rRNA from 1 species